CCCCGGCUAACUUCGUGCCAGCAGCCGCGGUAAUACGAAGGGGGCUAGCGUUGCUCGGAAUGACUGGGCGUAAAGGGCGUGUAGGCGGUUUGUACAGUCAGAUGUGAAAUCCCCGGGCUUAACCUGGGAGCUGCAUUUGAUACGUGCAGACUAGAGUGUGAGAGAGGGUUGUGGAAUUCCCAGUGUAGAGGUGAAAUUCGUAGAUAUUGGGAAGAACACCGGUGGCGA
rnacentral:rRNA from 1 species